AGCGAACGCUAGCGGCGGGCCUAACACAUGCAAGUCGAGCGGGGAGCAAUCCCAGCGGCGAACGGGUGAGUAACACGUAGGUAAUGUGCCUUUUGGUGGGGAAUAACCGUGGGAAACCAUGGCUAAUACCGCAUAUCGUGCUUCGGCAUGAAAGCUUCUGAGGCAACUCGGGGGCGCCAGUUGAGCAGCCUGCGUCCCAUUAUUUAGUCCUAGUUGGUAGGGUAAUGGCCUACCAAGGGUACGAUGGGUAGCUGGUCUGAGAGGAUGAUCAGCCACACUGGAACUGAGACACGGUCCAGACUCCUACGGGAGGCAGCAGUGGGGGAAUAUUGCGCAAUGGGGGGAAACCCUGACGGUACCUCGCAAGAAAGACACCGGCUAACUCUGUGCCAGCAGCCGCGGU
rnacentral:rRNA from 1 species